rnacentral:rRNA from 1 species
AGUGAACGCUGGCGGUAGGCCUAACACAUGCAAGUCGAACGGCAGCACAGUAAGAGCUUGCUCUUACGGGUGGCGAGUGGCGGACGGGUGAGGAAUACAUCGGAAUCUACUUUUUCGUGGGGGAUAACGUAGGGAAACUUACGCUAAUACCGCAUACGACCUACGGGUGAAAGCAGGGGAUCUUCGGACCUUGCGCGAUUGAAUGAGCCGAUGUCGGAUUAGCUAGUUGGCGGGGUAAAGGCCCACCAAGGCGACGAUCCGUAGCUGGUCUGAGAGGAUGAUCAGCCACACGGGAGCUGAGACACGGUCCAGAGUCCUACGAGAGGCAGCAGUGUGGAAUAUGGGACAAUGGGCGCAAGCCUGAUCCAGCCAGACCGCGUGUGUUAAGAAAGCGUUGGGGUUGUAAAGCCCGUUUGUUGGGAGAGAAAAGCAGCAGGUUAAGACCCCGCGGUUCUGACGGUACCCAAAGAAGAAGCACCGGCUAACUACGUG